CAGGGCAGAGCAGUCCCAAGGUGUGUUGUCACUUGUCUGUCGUGCUUUCUGUGUCUUCCGUUCAUCUCAUGUAACAUGUCUCUUGCCUUAGUCCUCCCAGGAGCUUAUGAGAAACCCCAAGUCCUUCCGGUCAUCUCCCAUCUUUGCGUUCCUCGGCCCGGGGCCGACGCCGGCGAAGUUUCGAUUCGGGAGGUCAGACAGGCGUCAGAAUCGCAUCUCUGUUCAGCAGCAUCCGAUCGGAUGUCUUUUUAGUUCUUGUUCUCAGCUGUGUUGACAGCUGUGUGCAGUCAUCUUUCUUUAUAGUGGAUAAGGACUUGUGCCGAUUCAAAGGCAGGCAGAGGCUUCCAGCCACAGGAUUCUCAGGCAUCCGUGUCUGCGGUUCUCGGAAUAAGUCGUUCCGUUAGCAUCUUUUUCCUCCGGGGUCAUCCGAGCCCGGCGGGCUCGCCUUUGGUCCCCCCUCGGUCAUCUCGUUCAGCAUUUUCUCGGUCCUCGUGAGGACUUUCUCGUCUCAGAGAGUUUUCUCUCCCUGUUGUGUCCCCUCGUCUCACGUGUCACGGGUGUCUGGGGGUAUUCGGUCCGGAACUGCUCUGCCCUGCCGCCCGGCCCCGUUGCAGGUGUUCAAGGACAAGUCCCGGGCACUUGUAAUUGGAGACUCGUAAUACGGGCUGUAGUUGGAGUCUAGGUAGUAUUCUUAUGUUGGCAGAAGGUGUCUGGAGCUGUGAAGUUACCCUGCAGCACUUUGACUUUUUUCCUAACUUUCUUUCAGAUGCGGAUGGAUCGACCUCCCGGCAGAGCGCCCCGUCCCAGAUGAGGCGAUCCCCCUGAGAAGGAAGUAAAGCUGGAUAGCAGCAGUGAAGGCGAAGCAUUGUGAAGGCUGCCUCCUGAUGUUGUGCUGAGGCCCCCUCACUGACCUGCCAAGAGACCCGGUUUGCUUCUCCGGUGAGCCCCAGCAAAUGUUACCGGAGUCCGUGACGAAGCCUCGACCUCGUCCACGUGAAGGCGUGCCUUGCGACGACGGCAUCCGCCUCGGAGCGUGGCCGAAGCGUGCGGCCCGAGGACCCGGGCGUUCCUAAGAGACGGUGAUGAUACUUGUCUGAGACAACAGCCCGGCGAGAGAAGAACUUCCCAGAUGGCGAGGUGGCUUCGUUUGGCUCCUGACUGGCCUCUCGCCGUGACUCACGUCUUCAGCCAUCCGAGAGAUAAGCGGAGCCCGCAGAGGGGAUCAAAGCAGGGCGGCGUGUCGGGACUCAGAUCGGUUUGGGUUUUUGAGUGAGCUUUGGGGAUGGGGAGGCUCUAGAAAUGACCCCAUAGGCCCCAUUGAGGGAAAGCCUCACUUUGGCUCGCAGUGCUGAGGCGGGCAGGGCAGAGCAGUCCCAGGGUGUGUCGUCACAUGUCUCUUGUGCCUUCCGUGUCUUCCGUGCAUCUCGUGUAACAUGUCUCUUGCCUUAGUCCUCCCAGGGGCUUUUGAGAAACCCCGGGGUCCUUCUGGUCAUCUCCCAUCUUUGCGUU